GCGGGUGUAGCUCAGUGGUAGAGCGUCAGCUUCCCAAGCUGAAUGU
rnacentral:tRNA from 1 species